CCGAGUUUACAACUCCCAAACCCCUGUGAACAUACCUAUUGUUGCUUCGGCGGUUCUGCCCCGGGCGCCCCGUGCGCCCCGGACCAAGGCGGCCGCCGGAGGAUAAUCAUAAACUCUUGUUUUCUCCAGUGGAAUCUUCUGAGUAAUACAAACAAAUAAAUCA
rnacentral:misc_RNA from 1 species